UACGAAGGGGGCUAGCGUUGUUCGGAAUUACUGGGCGUAAAGCGCACGUAGGCGGAAUGUUAAGUCAGGGGUGAAAUCCCGGGGCUCAACCCCGGAACUGCCUUUGAUACUGGCAUUCUCGAGUCCGGAAGAGGUGAGUGGAAUUCCGAGUGUAGAGGUGAAAUUCGUAGAUAUUCGGAGGAACGCCAGUGGCGAAGGCGGCUCACUGGUCCGGUACUGACGCUGAGGCACGAAAGCGUGGGGAGCGAACAGG
rnacentral:rRNA from 1 species